UACAGAGGGGGCAAGCGUUGUUCGGAAUUACUGGGCGUAAAGGGCGCGUAGGCGGCCUUCUAAGUCGAACGUGAAAUCCCCGGGCUCAACCCGGGAACUGCGUCCGAUACUGGAAGGCUUGAAUCCGGGAGAGGGAUGCGGAAUUCCAGGUGUAGCGGUGAAAUGCGUAGAUAUCUGGAGGAACACCGGUGGCGAAGGCGGGUCUCUGGGCAAUUCCUGACGCUGAGGCGCGAAAGCGUGGGGAGCAAACGGG
rnacentral:rRNA from 1 species